rnacentral:sRNA from 1 species
ACUUUGCCUCCGCGGCCCGAGCGUCAAGCAGACGGCUGAUGGCUGGUGGCUUAUGCCACCGGCCU